GCCCAGCCCCGCGUCUCUGCCGGCCUGGGGCACAGCCUUCAGCCCCUUCCCUGCCUUCUCUGCUCAUCAGCCACAGAGGCCUGGGCACCUCCCCUCCCUCCCGACGGUGGUGUCCGGGCCCUGGACGCCCAGCCCUGAGGGCACCACCUCUGUGGCAGGCCAUGGUGUCUCUACCCACGUGCAGAAACAGGCCAGCAGCUCAGGGGGCCCCCGAUCUCUCCAAACCUGCACAGAGUGCCCUAUGCCAGGACAGCCUGCACUGAAUCUGUGACCGAGGAGCAGCUAGAAGACACCGAGGCCUCGCUGCCGGGCUACAGGCACUGACCCACUCCCUUCAGCCGCCCGCACGUCCAGGUGGGCACCCAGGUUGGCUGCCGUUCGGGGUCAAGCCCAGGGAGUGGAGUUGCCACACUGGGGCCCCUUGCCUUGGCCUUUCAGAGUAUGAGAAAUGCCUGUCUUUACUCUUCCCGCCACUUUGAGGUGGGCUUUCAAUUACUUGCAACCAAAUGCAUCCUAAAAGGUCCUGAGGACCCGGUUCCCCAGCCACCUGUGAGGAGGUCGCCUCUGUGCUCCUAUGACCCCUAUGACCUCCAUCCUUUCCAGUGUCACUCUCCCCGGGGCCCAGCUUUCUACCACCUCUCCUUCUCCAGGAGCGAGAAGAAAAGCCAGGACACAUACUGCACACAGCAGAGACUGCGAAAGGCCACACCGCCUUACUCAGGUAGAUGGUUAAAAGAGUUCAGCUGACUCCCAGAAGUCACCCGGUCAUCACUUCCCUCCACUCCUGGGCUGGUCUAUUCUCCUUUCACCCUGAGACCAGGGUUGAGUCAUUCCCUUUACCGACUUAAAAUGAGGUCUUUUUCUUCUGGGGUCCCAGACACAACCAUAUCUGAAUUCUCACUGGAAAUAUGCUCAGUUAGAGGCACCAGCCUCUCGUUCCAGCUGUACUGCCCUGUCUUCUCUCGGACCGUGGGUCCUGUCCAGAACCCUCUUCUUGGAAAGGACCCUGGAUGUGAGCCCCCCACCAGCCCCAGGGAUGGUUCCUCCCUCCGCGAGCCUCACCCCGGAAUCAGCCAUUCCCUGGAAAGCGCUGCCCAAUGAGGAACGGGGCCUGGCGCUUAGGGAGCCCACGGCGUGCGGGUGCACGCAGCCCUCGGCUCCAGCGCUGAUGGUGUCUGACGAUGUCGUGGAGGAGGCCCAAACGAAAGGCCAGGAAGUCUGAGGAAGACGGGUGGGGGGAUUCUGAAUACAAGCUCCGGUUUAGAGGCGAGGCAGAACUUGAACCGAUGGGGGCGGUCAGGGUGGGGCAUCGCAGACGCAGAGAAAAGGCAGAAGCGGAACGGCAGGAAGGGCGGCCGCUCAGGAGAGACAGGCGUGCGGGGUGGGACAGGAAGCAGAUCAGAGGAAGCCGGGAAGCCAGGCUGGGCCCGGGUGGCGGGAGCUCGGGGUCCAGGGUGAACGGGAGUUUAACCUGGCAGAUGAGAGGACACAGCGUUUCUGUCUCCCAGCACCUGUUGAUCGCUCUGUGUUUUAGUCCAGGUCGCUGUGGAGGAGAUGGAGCUUUCCCACGGGCCAUCUCUGCAGCCCGGCUAUGUGAGCUGCGAGCAGAGCCCGUCACCUCAGUUUGCAGACCUUCUAAAGGCUGAAUACAAGCUGGCAUGCCUGAGCUUUUGAAGAAGAGGCAGCUCGGGCCGUGAUCUGGUCCCAUCACAGCACCAAGGGCAGGACCUGAGGGCGUCUUCCAGGGCACACAGCACAGAGCGGCCAGGCCAGCCCUGCACCCGUCUCUCUGAGCCCAGACAGGGCGGCAGACUCGCGUGCGCCAGAGAUGGUAAUCCUGCGGCAAUGAUGCCAGCGCCAGGCCCUCCCACCGCCUCAUGCGGUCAUUAGAGCAGCCGGGGUCAGUGCCUCGAUUCCCUGUGUAGAAAGAAAGAAACAGAUGGCAGGUGCUUUGGUGUUCACACAGCUAACACCUGAGAACCAGACCCCGGGGCUGUGGGCUUCCACCUGUGCUCUGGCCACCGGGGUGCACGGCUCUGCUGCAGAACAAAGCCGGAAGGAGUCCGAGGAUCCCUCCCCACCUCACGUGCAGUGAUUCUGGGGUGAAGAGCUUUGAAUUCAGCUCCUCCUUUAAAAAAACAAGCCGUUUAACUAGGUCAGGUAAACACAGUGAUAUUUGGACUAGCUCAGCCCAGCUCUGAAGGCUCAUGGCGGAACGUCUGAAUUAGGAUGGGGAAGGACCCCGUUAUCCAUUAACCCUGUCCCGGUUCACGGGGCAGGUGGCUCUGGGAACGGGCAGCCGACGUGGCCCACCUUCAGCUGCCCAGGAUCUCCCCGGAGCAGCAGCAACGGGGCCUCACGACCAGGCACCUCCAAGCACCCGCGUCACAGGGUGCCAAACCUUGGCUGGAGAACCUGAGGGGCAGAGUCCACAUGAACCGGAGCAGGGCCCCACGGCCCUUGUCCCCACCACUACGUCCUCCGCGAGAAACCUUUAGCCAAAGAGUAAGUUUAAUCCGAGAAGGGAGAAAAUGCAGAAACGAAGGAAAACAGUCAAAGGAGACCAAACAAUCAUGGCUUAGUCAUUAAGCACAGUCAAGGGCCUUUAGCUCUGCUUUAAGGGCUGCAGGUCAUAUUCUGAGCCGCAUCCCGUGAGCUGUACCGAAGCCCCCGCCAGGUGGAGGAGGUUGACUGCAUCACGACCAAACUGAAGCCACGCCAUACGCUGUCCCACUUCACACGAUUCCGAGAACUGGCCUCAAAGAAACGGGAACAAACCCUGCAGCUAAGGGUUAACUGUACUUAAAACAGCCAAGGUGACGCCCAUCAGACCACCACAUUCCCGAUUUCAAGACGACUGUCAGAGCUGACUGCGCUGUGCUGCCCCCCGCUCCGCCUGUACACCCCGAAACUGCCCUUUAAAAGCCCCUGGCCCCUGAGCAGCCAUCGGGAGCUGGUUCUCAGACAGGAGCCCACCCUCUGCCCCGGUUGCCGGACUCCGAAAUAAAGCAAACUUUCCUUUCCGAGCAACCCUUGUCUCUGGAGAAUUGGCUUUC